CUCAGAUUGAACGCUGGCGGCAGGCCUAACACAUGCAAGUCGAACGUAACAGGAAGCAGCUUGCUGCUUCGCUGACGAGUGGCGGACGGGUGAGUAAUGUCUGGGAAACUGCCUGAUGGAGGGGGAUAACUACUGGAAACGGUAGCUAAUACCGCAUAACGUCGCAAGACCAAAGAGGGGGACCUUAGGGCCUCUUGCCAUCGGAUGUGCCCAGAUGGGAUUAGCUAGUAGGUGGGGUAACGGCUCACCUAGGCGACGAUCCCUAGCUGGUCUGAGAGGAUGACCAGCCACACUGGAACUGAGACACGGUCCAGACUCCUACGGGAGGCAGCAGUGGGGAAUAUUGCACAAUGGGCGCAAGCCUGAUGCAGCCAUGCCGCGUGUAUGAAGAAGGCCUUCGGGUUGUAAAGUACUUUCAGCGGGGAGGAAGGGAGUAAAGUUAAUACCUUUGCUCAUUGACGUUACCCGCAGAAGAAGCACCGGCUAACUCCGUGCCAGCAGCCGCGGUAAUACGGAGGGUGCAAGCGUUAAUCGGAAUUACUGGGCGUAAAGCGCACGCAGGCGGUUUGUUAAGUCAGAUGUGAAAUCCCCGGGCUCAACCUGGGAACUGCAUCUGAUACUGGCAAGCUUGAGUCUCGUAGAGGGGGGUAGAAUUCCAGGUGUAGCGGUGAAAUGCGUAGAGAUCUGGAGGAAUACCGGUGGCGAAGGCGGCCCCCUGGACGAAGACUGACGCUCAGGUGCGAAAGCGUGGGGAGCAAACAGGAUUAGAUACCCUGGUAGUCCACGCCGUAAACGAUGUCGACUUGGAGGUUGUGCCCUUGAGGCGUGGCUUCCGGAGCUAACGCGUUAAGUCGACCGCCUGGGGAGUACGGCCGCAAGGUUAAAACUCAAAUGAAUUGACGGGGGCCCGCACAAGCGGUGGAGCAUGUGGUUUAAUUCGAUGCAACGCGAAGAACCUUACCUGGUCUUGACAUCCACGGAAGUUUUCAGAGAUGAGAAUGUGCCUUCGGGAACCGUGAGACAGGUGCUGCAUGGCUGUCGUCAGCUCGUGUUGUGAAAUGUUGGGUUAAGUCCCGCAACGAGCGCAACCCUUAUCCUUUGUUGCCAGCGGUCCGGCCGGGAACUCAAAGGAGACUGCCAGUGAUAAACUGGAGGAAGGUGGGGAUGACGUCAAGUCAUCGUGGCCCUUACGACCAGGGCUACACACGUGCUACAAUGGCGCAUACAAAGAGAAGCGACCUCGCGAGAGCAAGCGGACCUCAUAAAGUGCGUCGUAGUCCGGAUUGGAGUCUGCAACUCGACUCCAUGAAGUCGGAAUCGCUAGUAAUCGUGGAUCAGAAUGCCACGGUGAAUACGUUCCCGGGCCUUGUACACACCGCCCGUCACACCAUGGGAGUGGGUUGCAAAAGAAGUAGGUAGCUUAACCUUCGGGAGGGCGCUUACCACUUUGUGAUUCAUGACUGGGGUGAAGUCGUAACAAGGUAACCGU
rnacentral:rRNA from 1 species